AAACCCGAAAAUUUCCAGAUUUUUCUCCUCCUCGCUGCCUUGGCUUCACGGCGUCGCCACGACUUCAUCCGGCCACCUAUGGCCAUGAAAUUGAUAUCAAUCUCUUCGCCUUGAAACCAGCUUUCCAUUCAUAUAUGUCUUGCAUCCUAUCAUUCACCAUAGACAACGAAUCGAAGCAAAGAAGGUCAGACCAUUUUUCAUGCAUUUCUUCAAAUUCCAGCCAACUCCGGCAAAGGUAGGAGGGGAGACCAACUGGGCUUUGUUCGCCUUGCCAUGCUCUAUAAACUCACCAAGUUUCACAUCUCGAUUCAACCCGAGGAAGACGAAUUUCAGAUUUGAGCGAUUUUGGGCGAUUUCGGCCUCUUUCUUCUUGAGGUGAUUGACGGAUUGAUUUGGCGGACGAUUCGUAAAAUCGUUGUUGAGCUGUUUAGAAGACACAACGGGAAUUAGAGCGGGUAAUCCUACAGGACAGGAGAACCAGGACGGUGAUCGUGCGGUUAGAGCAAUUGUUAUAGUUUUACAGCAAUUGUAAGUUGUGAGGUGUGUUAUGCUCAUUUAGAGCUUUACAAUAUUGCUUGUGAGAGUGAAUUGUAAUAUUGAGUGUGUGAGGCGUGUUACUCUGAAAGUUAAAAAUAAUAAUUUGAAUUUUGUAAUUGUAAUUAUUCAUGUUUCGGAUUUGAAUUUAUUAUUCAAAAUUCGGGGCGU